UUUAAUAUGAGGAGUAAUCCCAUGCUACAAGGAAUGGGUUGAUCCAACCACUAGCGAAGCAUAGACAGAUGGAUUGCUCGGGUUUCGUCAACAGAUUAAGGUUUUUGGGUGCAUGAAACUCAAAUACAGGGUUUGAGAUUAUGAUUGCACAAACUCGCAAUUUCAAGCUACGAAGCACCGAUACGCCAGAAAUUGGAGUAUCGGCGUACUGAACGUUCCCGAUACGGCGAUACGCACGAUAUGGCUGGGAUACAGGUAUCGGCGAAGUAUCCUAUUUUCCGAUUUAAAAAGAAAAGAAAAAACAUCGAUACGUCCUGUGCAUCGUCUACGAUACGGGAGCGACACGGCAGCCCACUGGAAGGCCCAUGGCUAACCCUAGCAUCUGGGCUCCCUCUCUUUUGUUUUGUUCGCACGACAGGAGCUUGCACGAGGGAGCCGCCGCCGCUGGACAAGCCUCCCCGCCGGCCGCAGCCGCAGACUGGAGUCACUUGCCGCCUGGAGUGGCUCACCGGCGCCGCCUGGAAUUGCCUCGCUGCCGCCUCAACUCGCCCCCACCGGCUGGAAUCGCCUCUCCGCUUGAAUCUUCUGCUCUUCUCCACCGCCGUCGCAACUCACAAGAUUGCCGUAUCCCGUAUCACCGUACUCGUAUCGCCGUAUCGGUGUCGUUGUAUCGGUGCAACAUAGAUUUCAAGGACAAAAACAAUCGUGACAGUUAACAGUCCAGUGGUGAGGCCAAGAUGGAAAUGAUCAUUAAGCGUCCCGGUCUAGAUUCAAGGAUAGACGAAAGUAUAAGUGGACAUGUAAAUGAAAUGUAAGUGGAUUUACUUUUCGCCAUACGCCGCAAAGGUUCAACUAUUGUGGAUAACAACAACGGCACAGGAAAAUGUAAGUGGAUUUACCGGUUGAGUUGGGUAAAUUAGUUGGUUCAUUUCA